UUUCAGGGUGCUGGACUGCUCAAAUUUUAUUGGCAAUAGUGGUUGAUUAUAUAGACAGUUUUUCACUACAGAUUACAUCACAGUGUUAAAAGUACAUUGGUUAACUAUUACAUGGUAUAGCAGCUAUGCAUCCUGUUUUAAGAUCUCUAUCUUUAAACUUAGUGAGUACUCUGAAGAGGCCAUAAAACACAAGAAUUUGGCAUUCACAAAUCCUGUUUGUAGACUGAUGCUUAUCUUCAAAUCGUUAUGGCAGGGAGACAGUGUAAGUAAGUAUAAACCAACUUAAUUAAACUAGCUAUCACUAAAAAGCUUUUAAAAUCAAAGACAAAACUCACAGCUAGGUUUUUUGGAUAAGAUAUGGCUAACUUCUACGGACCUCAUUAAAAUCCUAACUCUAAAGUUUACUAUAUAACUAGUUAAUAGAUAAACACUAUGUUUUAACUAGGUUGGAUUUAAAUAGGGGAAAGUCCUUCAGGAUGAAAUUCUUAUUAUAUUAUUGUUGUAACUUUGUUAAAUCACAAAUCACCACAGGAAAAUAAGAAUGGAAAAUAAAAAUAAUAAGUAAAUAAUCAGGAAAGACUGAGAAAAACUGAGUAACAAAUAAAACAGCAGGAAAGACUAGGUCACCCGAGAAACAAUCCAUGUUCUCCAGUGCAAACAUGGAAAUUGCUUUCCCAGGAAAGCCCCAAUUCUUCCCCAUAAACAUCAAAAUGAGAGCUGUGUAACCUGAGGCCUGCCCUCGGCUUGUACCGUGCAGGCGGGCUUCUUAUCCUGACCAGAAGCCCACCUUCAGCUUGUACCGUUCAGGUGAGCUCCCUUUCUUGGUUAGGAACCUGCCUUCAGGUUUUUCUGCCAUCAGGCAAGGUCAUUUUUUUUGAGUCCCUUUAUUUUCUUGGCUCCCCGCAGGUGCUGUAUACCAUCUACAUUUUUUUUUUUUUUUUUUUUUGAUAUUUCUUUGGGCCGCUCCUGCAGCAUAUGGAGUUCCUGGACCAGGAAUCAGAUCUGAGCUGCAGUUACAGCCUACACCACAGCUGCAGCAACACUGGAUCCUUUAACCUACUGUGCUGGGCCGAGGACCAAACCUCCAUCCUGGCAUUGCAGAGACACUGCUGAUCCCAUUGCACCACAGCAGGAACUCCUCCUUCAAGUUUCUUAAUCUCAGUCACCUCAUUGAUAUGAGAUUAAUAGCAAUGGCACUAUCUCAGAGAACUAUUGUAGGAUUCAAGGAGAUAAAGUGCUUAGAGCUCAAUAUGUACUAGCUUUAUUAUCAAUAUUGUUUUCUAAAAAAGCCUGGAAAAGUUCCCGUUAUGGUGCAGUGGUAAUGAACCCAGCUAGUAUCCAUGAGGACAUGGGGUCAAUCCCUGGACUCGCUCAGUGGGUUAAGGAUCCGGCGUUGCCAUGAGCUGUGGUGUAGAGCGCAGACUUGACUUGGAUCCUGCGUUGCUGUGGCUGUGGUGUAGGCUGGCAGUUGCAGCUCUGAUUCGACCCCUAGCCUGGGAAACUCCACAUGCCAAAUGUGCAGCCGUUAAAAAAAAAAAAAAAAAUACAGGCAAAGAAGACCUGCAGAGCAGCCGAGACCCCCAGGGCUGGGACAGACACACAAGGAAGAGCAAUCUUCCUCUCCCUCCCACCAGCACUCAGAUUAAGACCUCAAUCAAAAGGAUAGGGCUGUGGCUCCCUGAUGGUGAGGAAGUCACCGAGACACUGGUAGAACUUGCUAGAAAUAUGCCAUCUGGGGUACGGGGGGAAGCAGUUCACAGGCAGCUCCUAAGCCUCAAAACUUUGCAGGACCACUCAAGAGGGGGCCAAGAAAAGCUGCUGGCCACUGCGCAUUGCUGGCUUCCGUGAGCGGUAGGACGCAGGCGCGGAAGACGUCCUGCCCCCACCCGCGCCCCGCCCCCCGCAGGACCUGGCGCUGGAGACGACCCAUUCUGUCCACCAGUGGGCGCUAGAGAAGCCUCGACAGCUGAAGCAGCCGGUGUGAGGAGCCUUCCAGAACCAAGGAGAGAACCUCUUGCUCCUGCAGGUGUCUGGUCAGCUCCCUCUACCGGCAAAGUUGAGCAUUGCGGCAGCUGGAAAAGGAGAAAUUUUUAAGUGACUCCGUUAUCACAGAGAUAACUGGCACAAUGCACCCCUUUAGGGACUCAACUUUCAUAUGCAACCUUCUAUCUACUUCUGGACUUCCAUACAACAGUGAAACAGCUUCAUAUUUCCACCUAAUGGGAUAUAGCUAUCUGUCUUACAAGUGAAGACUUUCUCACCUCUUUUCAAAAGGAGAUACACAGUCUAAUUGGUCUCUAUUAAAUACUUCUCAGAGGAGGUCCCAUUGUAGCUCUACAGUUACGAACCCGACCAGUAUCCAUGAGGAUCCGGGUUCAAGCCCUGGCCCCCCUCAGCAGGUUGCCAUGAACUGCAUCGGAUCCCUAGUGGCAUAGGUUGCAGCUGCAGCUGCAGCUCCGAUUCAGCCCCUAGCGUGGGAACUUCCACAUGCCGCAGGUGCAGCCCUAAAAAAAAACCUCAGAUUUUGUCACAGUCCUCAAAUACAGUUACCUGAAGACUAAACUGUAACAUUAACUUCCAACAACUUACGUGUUAAAUGAAGAUGGAAAGAGGGAGGAAAAAAAGGUUAGUAUGUACAAAAACCCCAUAUAUACAUAACAUAAAAUAUGCAAAACUACUACAGUCCUUGUUUUUGUAAUUGGUCACAUGGCUGUUUUAGUCACCAUUAGUGCAUCAUUCCUUCUACAUUUUUUUUUUUUUUGGUCUUUUUGCCAUUUCUUGGGCUGCUCCCACGGCAUAUGGAGGUUCCCAGGCUAGGGGUCUAAUCGGAGCUGUAGCUGCCAGCCUACACCAGAGCCACAGCAACAUGGGAUCCGAGCUGCGUCUGUGACCUACACCACAGCUCACAGCAACGCCGGAUCGUUAACCCACUGAGCAAGGAGAGGGAUCGAACCUGCAACCUCAUGGUUCCUAGUCGGGUUCGUUAACCACUGUGCAAGGACGGGAACUCCUCCUUCUACAUUUAUUAGCUGGUAUCCUACUAUAAGGAAGGGCUUUUUCUUCUUUGUUUACUUAUUCAUUGAUUUAUAUUACUAUGAACUUAAUAGUCUUAUUUUACUCAUUGAGUUAUAAUCUGCUACUGUUUUAGUUUUGUUUUUGUUUGUUUUAUGGCCGUACCCACAGCAUAUGGAAGUUCCCAGGCAGGAAUUGAAUCUGAGCCACAGCUGUGACCUACACUGCAACCCCAGGUGUUUUAACCCAUGUGCUCUGGGCCAGGGAUUGAACCUGCACUUCCACAGCAACCCAAGCCAUUGCAAUUACAUUCUUAACCCACUGUGCCACAGCGGGAACUCUGUCCUAGUUCAUUUUGAUGCUCCCCCUUUGGCUUAUACAUGGACUCC
rnacentral:lncRNA from 1 species